rnacentral:other from 1 species
AGGGAGCUGCCUGGUUAGUCAGGCAAAUCAACCUCUGGGCCGAUAAGCACUUUCCAUAGGGAACUGGCUCUGUCGUGACCCUGGUCAUGUUAACCGGUGCCCACCUGCUCACGCAGGUCCGGGAGGGCUGAAAAGACCAACGGCUUUGGCGGCUCCACU